rnacentral:rRNA from 1 species
GGUUAAAAAGCUCGUAGUUGGAUCUCGGCGGUCUGAGGGCGGUUCGCUUGAUUGAGUGCUACUGCUCUAUAGGCCGUGGUUUUGCCAGAGGUCUCGGGGUGCUCUUAACCGAGUGUCCUGCGAUGCUGGCAGGUUUACUUUGAAAAAAUUAGAGUGCUCAAAGCAGGCUUUUACGCCUGAAUAUUCGUGCAUGGAAUAAUAGAAUAGGAAGUCGUUUCUAUUUUGUUGGUUUUCGGAAAUCGACUUAAUGAUUAAUAGGGACAGUCGGGGGCAUUUGUAUUCAAACGACAGAGGUGAAAUUCUUGGACCGUUUGAAGACAAACUACUGCGAAAGCAUUUGCCAAGAAUGUUUUCAUUAAUCAAGAACGAAAGUUAGAGGUUCGAAGGCGAUCAGAUACCGCCCUAGUUCUAACCAUAAACGAUGCCAGCUAGCGAUCUGCCGACGUUUUCUUUGUAGACUCGGCAGGAAGCUUCCGGGAAACCAAAGCAUUUGGGUUCCAGGGGAAGUAUGGUUGCAAAGCUGAAACUUAGAGGAAUUGACGGAAGGGCACCACCAGGAGUGGAGCCUGUGGCUUAAUUUGACUCAACACGGGAAAUCUCACCAGGCCCGGACACUGGAAGGAUUGACAGAUUGAUAGCUCUUUCUUGAUUCGGUGGGUGGUGGUGC